rnacentral:rRNA from 1 species
UACGUAGGGUCCGAGCGUUGUCCGGAAUUAUUGGGCGUAAAGAGCUUGUAGGCGGUUUGUCGCGUCUGCCGUGAAAUUUCGGGGCUCAACCCCGAACUUGCGGUGGGUACGGGCAGACUAGAGUGUGGUAGGGGAGACUGGAAUUCCUGGUGUAGCGGUGAAAUGCGCAGAUAUCAGGAGGAACACCGAUGGCGAAGGCAGGUCUCUGGGCCACUACUGACGCUGAGAAGCGAAAGCAUGGGGAGCGAACAGG